rnacentral:rRNA from 1 species
UGCGUAGGUGGUUCUCUAAGUUCGGUGUGAAAUCUCCCGGCUCAACUGGGAGGGUGCGCCGAAAACUGGAGAGCUUGAGUAUGGGAGAGGAGAGCGGAAUUCCUGGUGUAGCGGUGAAAUGCGUAGAUAUCAGGAGGAACACCUGUGGUGCAGACGGCUCUCUGGACCAUUACUGACACUGAGGCACGAAAGCGUGGGAGCAAACA